rnacentral:rRNA from 1 species
AAUACGUUCCCGGACCUUGCACACACCGCCCGUCAAGCCAUGGGAGCCGGGUGUACCUAAAGUCGGUAACCGCAAGGAGCUGCCUAGGGUAAAAUCGGUGACUGGGGCUAAGUCGUAACAAGGUACCC